rnacentral:rRNA from 1 species
CACGGGGGUUGCGAGCGUUGUCCGGAAUUACUAGGCGUAAAGGGCAGGCAGGCGGAUCCAUAAGUUUAUCGUUUAAGGCGUCGGCUUAACCGGCGUAGGGCGGUAGAUACUGUGGAUCUGGAAUGCGGUUGGGGAAGACAGAAUUCCUGGUGUAGCGGUGGAAUGCGCAGAGAUCAGGAGGAAUACCGAAGGCGAAGGCAGUCUUCCAAGCCGUUAUUGACGCUCAACUGCGAAGGUGUGGGUAUCAGACAGGAUUAGAUACCCGCGUAGUCCCUGAG